rnacentral:rRNA from 1 species
GUGGGGAAUAUUGGACAAUGGGCGAAAGCCUGAUCCAGCCAUGCCGCGUGUGUGAAGAAGGUCUUCGGAUUGUAAAGCACUUUAAGUUGGGAGGAAGGGCAGUAAGUUAAUACCUUGCUGUUUUGACGUUACCGACAGAAUAAGCACCGGCUAACUUCGUGCCAGCAGCCGCGGUAAUACGAAGGGUGCAAGCGUUAAUCGGAAUUACUGGGCGUAAAGCGCGCGUAGGUGGUUUUGUAAGUUGGAGGUGAAAUCCCCGGGCUCAACCUGGGAACUGCCUCCAAAACUGCAUGACUAGAGUACGGUAGAGGGUAGUGGAAUUUCCUGUGUAGCGGUGAAAUGCGUAGAUAUAGGAAGGAACACCAGUGGCGAAGGCGACUACCUGUACUGAUACUGACACUGAGGUGCGAAAGCGUGGGGAGCAAACAGGAUUAGAUACCCUAGUAGUCC